rnacentral:rRNA from 1 species
CCUACGGGUGGCAGCAGUGAGGAAUAUUGGUCAAUGGACGAGAGUCUGAACCAGCCAAGUAGCGUGAAGGAUGACUGCCCUAUGGGUUGUAAACUUCUUUUAUAUGGGAAUAAAAUGUUCCACGUGUGGGAUUUUGUAUGUACCAUAUGAAUAAGGAUCGGCUAACUCCGUGCCAGCAGCCGCGGUAAUACGGAGGAUCCGAGCGUUAUCCGGCUUUAUUGGGUUUAAAGGGAGCGUAGGUGGAUUGUUAAGUCAGUUGUGAAAGUUUGCGGCUCAACCGUAAAAUUGCAGUUGAAACUGGCAGUCUUGAGUACAGUAGAGGUGGGCGGAAUUCGUGGUGUAGCGGUGAAAUGCUUAGAUAUCACGAAGAACUCCGAGUGCGAAGGCAGUUCACUGGACUGCAACUGACACUGAGGCUCGAAAGUGUGGGUAUCAAACAGGAUUAGAUACCCCUGUAGUC